UGUCUAUUAAUUGUAGACUAGUAUGAAAGGCAAAAUGAGGAUCUAACUGUCUCUUAUAAUCAAUCAAUUAAACUGAUCUCCUAGUAAAAAAGCUAGAAUCCCCACAUAAGACCAGAAGACCCUGUGAAGCUUAAACUAAACUAUUAAACCAUAUAAUAACUAAUUUCGGUUGGGGCGACCUUGGAAAUAAAAAGAACUUCCAAAUAUAUGACUAUAACUCAUCCCCUUAGGCCCACAAGCCUCUAAACGACCCAGUAUAGCUGAUAACUGAACCAAGUUACUCCAGGGAUAACAGCGCCAUCUUCUUCAAGAGUCCAUAUCAAAAAGAAGGUUUACGACCUCGAUGUUGGAUCAGGACAUCCUAGUGGUGUA
rnacentral:rRNA from 1 species